AGGUCGGAGUUCCAGGCGGUGCUGGCCGUCGUCACAUGUCCCCAGUCUAGGUUGUCCAUCUGCGUCCGAGUCAUCUUCCUCCCCAGUUUUUACUUCUUGAUUUAUUGUUUUUCUGAACAUAUGUGUGCAGAUCUAAGAAAAAAGAGAAGGGGAUGAAUCUGGAGGAAGAGCUUGGUGAAGAACAAGGUGAUCUCUCUCUCUCUCCAUCUCUUUGAAUUUAAGUCCACUUUCAUCUUUUUCAUUGCUUCUAUUUCUCGUGGGAUAUUCAGGAGUUGAGAACACAUAUUUUGUAGGUGUUCGUAAUGGCAACGGUGGUAAUCAACGAUGAGAAAAAAGGACCGAGAUUGUAUUUGUACUAGGUAUGUUCCUCAUCUCUCUCAGUCCUUGUUCAAUCCCCACCUUGAUGUAACUGUUUCUUCACAACUAUUGGAUGUGUCUUAGGAGAUGAAUGCCAUGGAUUGUUUAGAUUCUUGUUGAGCUAACCACUACUUAAACUAUUUGUCCCCUUGUUAAAGCUAAUCAUAGUAAUAGUUGGUGAUCGUCUGGCUGCUGUGUAUAGUGGCAACCAAAUUCAUGAUGAUGAACUGAAUCAAACCCGUAGUAAAGUUAGUGUUAAAUCACACAUGUGUAUAGUCAAGUUCAGUACACUCAAGCAGUUUUGUCAGAUUGUAGAUUCAGUAUGACAAGAAAAUUACUUGAAAGAAAUGGGUACAGCCACUGUGAUAAAUAUCAGUAGUAUGCAUUGUAUAUGUAUGCUCAGUCAUGUUCAACUCUGAGUAUUUUUCCCCUAUGUGUUACAGCAGGUGAUGCCUUAAUUUAGUUCAUGGCAUUAUGGCGGGACGCAUGUGGUAAAUGGUUACAAUGGUGGCUCAUGGAGUUAAAAUUUUGUGUUCUGUACAGAUUUGAGAUGAUAGAAAUUCAAAAUAGGUAACCAAUAAGCCAUGUUUUUGUUUGGUGUUGCAGUUGUCAUGUGUCACAAGUUAUAUAUGUGUGUUCAUAAUUAUAACUGCACUUUGUCUCUCUCUUUGCAAGUGUGAUAUAUGCAUGUUCAUAAUUAUAUUUUAGUCCUAAUUUUCAGAUCAUGACCACAGCUUGCGGAGUUUCAAAAUCUAAUAUCUCUAAUUUCCGCAUCAAGCUAAGUGGUCCCGUUGUUUAGCAUGUAGGCACUUUCUAUUUGUUGCUUCAAUGUAAUGUUUAAGGUUGUUGCUUUAACAAUAUUUGAUCUAGAUUAUCAGUAAAACACACUCACAAUUAGGUGUUCUUCCUUGGUUAGCUGCU
rnacentral:lncRNA from 1 species